rnacentral:rRNA from 1 species
AAGAAGACCACUUGGUAGAUAGGUCUCAGGUGUAAGAGUAGCAAUACUUUAAGCUAAGAGAUACUAAUAAGUCGAGGACUUGACCUAA